rnacentral:lncRNA from 1 species
CCCAAAGGGAACUGAGGCAUUUAUCCACCAGCCCCCAUCAGCCAUUGGCUGAGGGCUGCUCCAGGGCUGGGACCAGGACUCCUUACAUCUUGUACACUGGACACCUUACUCGCCCCACCCUAGUCCCAGGCCCAGCUGCUCCUUGGUGCCACUGACUCCCUGACACUCUGGCCUGCUGUACCUAUGGACACAGAGGACCCUUUCAACCAAAACCUCCCGCCAAAAUUCAAGUCUCAGCCACAUGCCCAGCCCUACACCAAUCACUAAGCCAGGGGCUGUGAUGCUCUCAUUGGCCAGGCCCCAGUCACAUGCCCAGGCUAUGCCAAUCACUGGCCCUGGCAGCUGUGACGCACUCAUGGGCGGGCCCGCGUCGUGGCGGGGAGAGGAGUCUCCAGACGGAAGUGGGGUGCUGUUCUGAGAGAAAGAAGCAGCUUGGUGCUGGAUGAGAACCCGUGAACACCGAGGCUUCCCUCUGCCUCUCUGCUGACUGGUCCCUUAGCUCUGGGACGACUGAGAAGAGAACCCUGUUGACCAGGAAGGGCAGCCUUGGGAACCUAGCAAAAUGGGAAGGUCCGGGAAAUAUGGUAGACCAGGCAAGGAAAGACCGAGACUGGAAUGAGGCAGGCGGCUGCGGCAGCCCCACCUAUGACCCUGAGCAACCCUGGAAGCUGCGCUGUCGACAGCCUGUCACAGCAAAUCACCUCAGGCCACUACAUCCCCAGAGAGCUGCCCACCGAACCAGCGUCAGCCCCCUCGGGGCCUCUCCCAGCGGCACUAACAGGCUGGCGCCAGGCUGCACAGGGCUGGUUCUGCCCAUGCCUCAGAGGAGAAAACCGAGGCUCAGACAAAGGAAGACGAAACAAGAAGAAAGCAGCCCACAGACAACUGGUCCUGGGGCUUCCUCGCCCUGUCUCACCGCUGCAAGAGGGAGCUUUGAGGAGCACAGCAGGGCAAAGCAGGCCUGAUUCCCUUGCCCUUGUUCUGGAGAGGAGACUGAAGUUCAGAGGGGCGAAGCGACGUGCCCAAGGUCACAGACGUGCCAAUAAGGAUGCAUGAGAGAGAAGGCUCCAUCUCCUUAGAGUGGCAACUAGCUGCUGCCAAGAAGCCUCCCCUCACAGCCCAGGCCAGAACCAGCCUCCCGCCAGGUAGCACAGCACCGGAAGCCCACCAUUCGAGAGCUGGCCCAUCGAGUUGAGCACUCAUCUUUUAUGCGUCACAUUCUCUUUGUUCAUUUAGCCUCACAGGACCCACAAAAAUCCAUGAACAGCAAAUAACAACUAUUUCCAUCUUUUAGCUUGUAUUCUGAUCCUUUUUAGUGCACAGACAUCCAUUCCUGCAUGUUUAUACGAGCAUAUGUGUCCUCUUCUGGAAUUUGUUUUCAUCAAACAAUAUUCCCAACAUGCAGGAAGGGACUUUGGAGAUUAUCUGGCCCUCUUUUCGAAGAGCAGUGUUGCCUAGUGGUUAGAAUGUGGGGUUUGGAGAUAGGCAGACAUAGAUUCAGAUCCCAGAUAUGCAAGCUGAGUGACCUUGGACAAAC